UAUCGCGCGUUCGUCUCUCGUCUCUGUACCGACGACAAUGACCGCGUGUCGUGCAGCUUUCGUUUCGACAGCGUAGUCCGUGAACCGGUGUCCCGUAGCGACUUUGUCGUGACCGCCUUUGCUUGAUUGACGGACGUCGAGGGCGAAGCAGAGCGAAGAUGCUGCAAUGCGCUGCUUUGCCACAACAAGAGCAACACAGUAGGAUGACUAAAGGACGUAACACUUCUGGACGGGAAUUAUAUGUCGAAGAACUGUUUUGAAAUGUACAAUAACGAAGAUAUUGGCAUUCUCCUUGCACCAUCAUCUGCGAGCUGCAAAGGCUCUCCACCUAAAGUAUGACAAGGAAGCAGUAGACUCAUCAUUCACGAUGCUUAUUUUAUGUGCUUCCAAGGGAUGCGGCCAAAGGAUGACCUGCGGAAUAUUUGUGCGCUCGAUCGGCGCCGCAAUCUCCCGAGCAAA